rnacentral:rRNA from 1 species
GACGAACGCUGGCGGCGUGCCUAAUACAUGCAAGUCGAACGAGUGGAGGACGGGUGGGUAAUGUAUGGGGUCUGCCCGAUACAGGGGGCUAACUGCUGGAAACGGUGGCUAAUACCGCAUGUUCCCGGAUAACCUAUAUGGGAUUUGCUAGUAGGUAUGGUAAUGGCUGACCUAGGCGACGAUCCCUAGCUGGUCUGAGAGGAUGAUAAGCCACAAGGGGACUGAGACACGGCCGAGAUUCCUACGGAGGCAGCAGUGGGGAAUAUUGCACAAUGGGCGCAAGCCUGAUGCAGCCAUGCCGCGUGUAUGAAGAAGGCCUUAGGGUUGUAAAGUACUUUCAGUCGGGAGGCGUUACCGACAGAAGAAGCACCGGCUAACUCCGUGCCAGCAGCCGCGGUAAUUC